GUUCGAAUGUAUUUUCUUUUAGCAGGUUCAUUGUGUUUCUGUACAACAGGAGGGAGAAAAUCAAAGAUGCAGACAGCUUUCUCUGGUGUCACCCCAGGCUCUGUCACAUUCUGAACCCAAUUCCUUGGGUUCACCUGGACCCCUAAGGGGAGCAGGUGGCAUGCAGAGCUUUCCCAACCUUGGACUGAACCCGUGCCCCCUGCAUUGGAAGCAUGGAGUUUUAACCACUGGAUCACCAGGGAAGUCCGAAGAGCAAUCGGAUUUACACACUGAAAUGUUGGUCAGACUCAGAGAGCUAAGUCACCCCUGGCCUGAGAAGCAGAGAGGAUGGACAAGAAGGCUGAAACCCUUUGCUGGCCUUUCCCUAAUGACAGCAAUCCUCCAGCCCUAACUUGGAGAUUUCUGCAAGCCUCCUGAGAUGGGCUGAGAUGCAGGCGUGCUAGGAGCGGGACAUAUUGAGCUGGCCACUGCGGCCCCUUUUACUGCCCGAGACAAUCAGGAGGUGUGUCAUCCACAUCCGUGUCCCUCUGCCUCCCUCCUUGAAGGAAACACCAACAGGGAGAGCAUCAAGGCAGAGAAGCCGAAGAGCCAGAGACCCCUCGGAUGCUGCCCAAGACCCCCAGGCAGCAGUGCAAACAGGAAGGGAGAGUGGAGGGACAGGUGUCUGCUGCCACGGAUAAUUCACAUCCAGAUGGCCAAGGAGAAGAGGAAACUGGGACACACGGAGGGACACCAGGGGCGCCCCGGGGGUCACGCACAGAAGAAAGACCAUCUGAGGCCAGAGUGAGAAGGCAGCCAAGUGUCUGCUGCCAAGGAGGGAGGCUGCAGGGGAAGCCCCCCCUGCCGACACCUCGAUCUUGGACUUGUAGCUUCCACAGUGGUGAGAAAAUAAA